rnacentral:misc_RNA from 1 species
CAUGUUUACCUUACUCUUGUCUGUAAUUACCUUUCUUGAUAAGAAUUAGAAUAAACCAGUCCAUAAUUUUUGAGUUAUUAAAUUUCAUUGGUCAUAGUUCCGAAUUACUUUUUGUUACGUACUUUUUGAGUGGUUUAUUCUUGGCGCAUUAGACUGUAUUUCCCCGCGGUUUCUGACGUAGUUUGAGGCCAGUCCUUUGUUUAGAGUUAACCCUUUUCUUCACUGUCGUUUUUGUCUUCGAACUGAUCACACGUUCUUUUUCGAAAAAUCCGUAGUAGUUUUUGGGAUUCAACAGUAUCCCUACAUGUUAAAAACUUAGAUUAUAUCUGAUAUAAAAUAUACAGCACUGAAAUUAUGUAAAAAGUGGAAAGGAGUGGACUAUCCACUAUAAGUGGCGUAUGAAUAAUACGUUUGGACUUCAUUUUUGAAAUUUGUGGACUUUGAUUUGUAAAGUGAUAGUUACGGAGUAUAGCCACGGCCAACAAGAGAAAUACAAAAAGACAAGAUUACAAAAAAAUGCACGAAGGAAUCGAUCUAGACGUUGAAGGGUUUGAUAAAAGUCUAAAGCAGGAGCAAGUUAUAACAACGAACACCUCUGGCGGGGCCUCCUUAGAACAGGAAGAUACACAGAUGAGUCAUACUAAAGAAAGUCAUGAAAAUGGCGAUCUCGUUACGAGCAAGGAAGAAGACGAGGAAAUGUGUCUCCUAGAGCAGGCGAUCGAGGCAGCCGAGGCGGAAAAACAAUCGAUUUUGAAGACAAGAAAGAAGGAAGAGUUACGGGCGCAGUUGCGACGUAAACAACUAGAAGUGAAGCAGCUGAAAGAGGAAGACUGUCACAAAAUCCGUAAAGUUCUCAUUGUUGGGGAUUCCAUAGUGAAGCAUUUACCACAUAUUGAGGGUGUUUCUAAUUUGUCUUUUAGGGGGGCAACUAUAGGGAUUCUAUGAAGUUGAACAGUUUGUUCAAGAGAAUUUACUGUAUAAGAGUGUCUGAUACAUGUAGUUGCAGUCUGUCUUUGGAAGCUGUUGAAGUAACAAGAAAGAGGCUACAUUGACAUCCUGUUUUGGUAGGGAGAAGUUUGAGUAUGUACAGUUGUUUGGCCUGUCUUACCAUGCGGCAGUCCCAGAAGAUGUUACCAUCAUGAAUAAAUGCAGGGGAACUUGAAGACAAUGGUUAGUGCAGAAGGGACAUAAAAGUAAUGUGAAAGUAACAGAUAUAAAUAAGAAGUGCUAAGUUUGUUGUCAUGUGAAAAGGACUUUACCCCAACUGUGCUGCAUGAUGUAUAUUCAAGAGUGAGACAGCCAUGCACCAUCUGUAAAAUGAGAUGGACCCACACAUGAAAUAUAUUUACUUUUCUAUGUAUUAUCAUCUGUACAGAAUGUGUUUAUGACAAGACUGUAAACAUAUAUUGUUAAAUCAUUUUUUAUUUUCAUUAUGGCAUGCAUGUAAGAAGAAAGCAUUAAUUAAACAGUUGCAUUCAUAGAAAUGUUAAAAUGUGAUCAAUCUAAUUAAAAGAAUAACCUUUAAUUGGACUUUCAAAGUUUCAUAUUAUUUUUGGUGGAGAUUGACCCAGUCAUUCAGCAACUUGUACUGUCUGCGAGUCAUUUCUUGUAUGUUAUAGUUUUCUUAAUAAUGCAUAAAAUAUCAAAAUAAUGGUUAGAUGAACUCCUUCAUCACUUGUACAUUAAUGUUAAAGCAGUUCAACAUUUUACCAUAACUUAAUUAAUAUUCUAUUAACCAGAUUUGUCACAAAUUUUCAUAUAAACAUUUGUAUAAUACAGUCUAAUCUAAUCUAGAAAUGAUAUUCCACAAUUUUUUAGUUAUACUUUAUUUUGUUUUGAUGUCUCAACAUAUAAUUACUAACAUCAACAAA